AACAGUGCCUACAUAACGGAGGAGCCACCAGACCCCUUGGCUAUGCCUGCCGUAGUGCAACGUAUAAUCUGGAUGGUCGGGUCAGGUACACCUAGGAAAUGUUGUAUACAUUGGCAACGAUAACUGGGGCCUGCUCCAGUGCCAUCGCCGGGAUUCCCUGUUCUGCAAAAAACUGACAUAACUGAUGUGGGGAGCCCUGGCGCUCGGUGUAGGAGUAUCACAGGGGCUCCUUGUCGGUGCUUGAAGGACGGCAAUGCUGUUGAGAAGCCGACAUUGAGCCCCGAUAAAUUGGAAGCUGUGGGUAGUUACCGCAUUAUUGACUUGGAAACCAGUGAGGUCUGGAUGCAAGUGAAGCUACCGAGGGAGGCAUGUGUGCAUCACUUGUGCUGCUGGCCAUCCUCUGCAAAAGUGAUGGCUGGCAGUCAGUGCUUGGAUGACUUUCUGUUACUCUACGCCUUGGGCUGUGUUGACUACUUCACACUUGCUGCCAUGUCUGCAAGCUUAGGCAAAAAGACCGGCUGGAUGCUUGGCAGGAGAUAGUAUCCAACCGCAGUGUUACUGUGUUGUGUUUUACAUUACAAAGUGAUGGAGGACAGUAUUUGUGCUGUUAUUAAGAAGUAUAAAUUGUGUUCUGCCAUUGAAAUAAGGGAACUCGACACAAAGCAAAAGAUUUCGAAGUCUGACCUACAUGGGAAAGCAAAAUAUAUUGUGUUGUAGUUGUAGCUGUUAGUAGAGUCUUAAUAUGCGAUAGAAGACCUUGAUGUUUAAUAGAAAAUAUAUUUAAGUGUGUUAUCAGUGUGUUAUCAGUGUUUAAGUUACUGUUAUGUGUCAUUUGUUUGCCAGGAUGAUGUAAGCAGACAGUAAAUAAAUGCAUGGUUUGAGA